rnacentral:snRNA from 1 species
ACGAGAGUAACAUUUGGUCUAUUGAAUAUUAGAACAAUAUAGAGAAGAUUAUCAUGGCCCUUGCGCAAGAAUGAUGCAUACAAAUGAGAAAUGGUCUAAAUUUUU